CCACCCCUCCCACGAGAUCGCGGAAUAACUGCUGAACAUCAGCUUUCCAUGGAUUUCUGGUCACGUGUUUACACCGGGGAAGUGAGCUGCGUUCAACCAAGUGUAGCUGGCAGUCCCCAACAGAACAUUCCAGGUCAACCACUUCCAUCGUGCUUUUCGACAGCGCGCCUCAGUAUGUUCGCUGUGCACUUGUACCUGGUCAUGUUCCAUGCUAUUUCUACUGUUUGCCUGUACAGGUUAUGCCAGCAUACUUACUAGUCCUACCGAUACUGUCACUGCAAGUAACUAGGUUAUAAGUCACCCGUGCACGACAACCUAAUAGCAGUCACUGACUCCUCUCUCCACAGUGAAUGGCUACACUGCAUUGCCUAGACGCAUCCCAAAGCCUCUCAUUGUGUAUUAAUAUUAUUUCUAAUGCUCGGGUUUUCUCUUGUGACCCGCGACGCCAGGCAUGAAGUCAUGCUCCUUGCUAUAUACAUGUAUCUCGCGGCCGUAACUUGUUAACAGAGUGUUACUGACACUCAGUGCCAACUGCUGCAAUUGCAGCUCAAAUGCAAACACUGUAUGUGUACGUGUUGCUGCGCAUUGGUCUCUGCCUUGAGAAUUCUUAUCAUUUUGGUGUAUUUUUAAUAACAGGCGUGGGCCAUCCCGUGAUUUCUUAGGUGCCGGUUUUAAACAUUUGCUGUGUACUUUUUAUAAUCACCAAAUGUCCCAUGACUGAGGACACCUAUGAUAUCAAGAACAGUGUACUAAGACACUUGCUUAUCUGA